rnacentral:sRNA from 1 species
UCUAAAUUUUAAUUAAUUUAAUUUAAUUAGAAAAACGAAAUACAUUAUUAAUUU